AGCAGCCGCGGUAAUUCCAGCUCCAAUAGCGUAUAUUAAAGUUGCUGCAGUUAAAAAGCUCGUAGUUGAAUUUCGGGAUUAAUAUGUUGGUCGUGCCUUGGUACGUACUGGCAUUAUUGAUUCCUACCUUCUGAAGAACCUCGAUGUCAUUAAUUUGGUGUCUUGGGGAAUCAGGACCGUUACUUUGAAAAAAUUAGAGUGUUUAAAGCAGGCUCGCGCUUGAAUACAUUAGCAUGGAAUAAUGAAAUAGGACGUUUGAUUCUAUUUUGUUGGUUUCUAGGAUCGACGUAAUGAUUAAUAGGGAUAGUUGGGGGCAUUAGUAUUCAAUUGUCAGAGGUGAAAUUCUUGGAUUUAUUGAAGACUGACUACUGCGAAAGCAUUUUGCCAAGGAUGUUUUCAUUAAUCAAGAACGAAAGUUAGGGGAUCGAAGACGAUCAGAUACCGUCGUAGUCUUAACCAUAAACUAUGCCGACUAGGGAUCGGAUGAUGUUAAUUUUUUAAUGACUCAUUCGGCGCCUUA
rnacentral:rRNA from 1 species